GUGGAGCAAUCCAUGAGUACAGUGGCGUACGGGUGAGUAACACGUGGGUAAUCUACCUCUUAGUGGGGAAUAACCCUGGGAAACCGGGGCUAAUACCGCAUAAGCCUGAGAAGGGAAAGCAGCAAUGCGCUGAGAGAGGAGCCCGCGGCCGAUUAGCUAGUUGGUAGGGUAAAGGCCUACCAAGGCAGAGAUCGGUAGCCGGCCUGAGAGGGCACACGGCCACACUGGCACUGAAACACGGGCCAGACUCCUACGGGAGGCAGCAGUGGGGAAUCUUGCACAAUGGGGGCAACCCUGAUGCAGCGACGCCGCGUGAGCGAUGAAGCCCUUCGGGGUGUAAAGCUCUUUCGUCAGGGAAGAUGAUGACGGUACCUGGAGAAGCAGCUGCGGCUAACUACGUGCCAGCAGCCGCGGUAAUACGUAGGCAGCGAGCGUUGUUCGGAGUUACUGGGCGUAAAGGGUGUGUAGGCGGUUCUUUAAGUUUGGUGUGAAAUCUCCCGGCUCAACCGGGAGGGUGCGCCGAAUACUGAGGGACUAGAGUGCGGGAGAGGAAAGUGGAAUUCCUGGUGUAGCGGUGAAAUGCGUAGAUAUCAGGAGGAACACCGGUGGUGUAGACGGCUUUCUGGACCGUAACUGACGCUGAGACACGAAAGCGUGGGUAGCAAACAGGAUUAGAUACCCUGGUAGUCCACGCCCUAAACGAUGCAUAUUUGGUGUGGGUCAUUCAGUUGAUCCGUGCCGGAGCUAACGCGUUAAAUAUGCCGCCUGGGGAGUACAGUCGCAAGGCUGAAACUCAAAGGAAUUGAC
rnacentral:rRNA from 1 species